rnacentral:rRNA from 1 species
GAGUCAUUGGGACUCUUUUAAACCUAAAGGCGCAAUGAAAGUAAAGGUCCGCCCCGCGCGGACCGAGGGAGGAUGGGCCCGUCCACGGUCGGGCCCCGCACUCCCGGGGCGUCUCGUUCUCAUCGCGAGAAGAGGCGCACCCAGAGCGUACACGCUGGGACCCGAAAGAUGGUGAACUAUGCCUGGUCAGGACGAAGUCAGGGGAAACCCUGAUGGAGGUCCGUAGCGAUUCUGACGUGCAAAUCGAUCGUCGGAACUGGGUAUAGGGGCGAAAGACUAAUCGAACCUUCUAGUAGCUGGUUCCCUCCGAAGUUUCCCUCAGGAUAGCUGGCGCUCGCCUUUGCGAGUCUCAUUCGGUAAAGCGAAUGAUUAGAGGCAUUGGGGUCGAAACGGCCUCAACCUAUUCUCAAACUUUAAAUGGGUGAGAUCUCCGGCUUGCUUGAAGCGUGAAGCCGCGAGAGAUCGGAUCACAGAGUGCCAAGUGGGCCACUUUUGGUAAGCAGAACUGGCGCUGUGGGAUGAACCAAACGCCGAGUUAAAGCGCCCAAAUCGACGCUUAUGGGAUACCAUGAAAGGCGUUGGUAACUUAAGACAGCAGGACGGUGG